UCCUGCCGGACCUGACUGCUAUCGGAUUGAUACUAAGCCAUGUUAGUCUUUGUAGUAAUACAAGGCAUACGGCUCAGUAACACGUAGUCAACCUAACUUAUGGACGGGGAUAACUUCGGGAAACUGAUGAUAAUACCCGAUAGGUCAUUAUGCCUGGAAUGGCUUAUGGCUUAAAUGAAUUUCGCCAUAGGAUGGGACUGCGGCCUAUCAGCUUGUUGGUGAGGUAAUGGCCCACCAAGGCUAUAACAGGUACGGGCUCUGAGAGGAGUAGCCCGGAGAUGGGUACUGAGACAAGGACCCAGGUCCUAUGGGACGCAGCAGGCGAGAAAACUUUGCAAUGUGCGAAAGCACGACAAGGUUAAUCCGAGUGUUUCCUGCUAAAGGAAUCUUUUGUUAGUCGUAGAACCACUGAUGAAUAAGGGGUGGGCAAGUUCUGGUGUCAGCCGCCGCGGUAAAACCAGCACCUCAAGUGGUCAGGAGGAUUAUUGGGCCUAAAGCAUCCGUAGCCUGUUUUGUAAGUCUUCGGUUAAAUCCACAUGCUUAACAUGUGGGCUGCCGGAGAUACUGCAAAACUAGGGAGUGGGAGAGGUAGACGGUACUUGGUAGGAAGGGGUAAAAUCCUUUGAUCUAUUGAUGACCACCUGUGGCGAAGGCGGUCUACCAGAACACGUUCGACGGUGAGGGAUGAAAGCUGGGGGAGCAAACCGGAUUAGAUACCCGGGUAGUCCCAGCUGUAAACGAUGCAGACUCGGUGAUGCAUUGGUUUAUUGCCAGUGCAGUGCCGCAGGGAAGCCGUUAAGUCUGCCGCCUGGGAAGUACGUACGCAAGUAUGAAACUUAAA
rnacentral:rRNA from 2 species